rnacentral:rRNA from 1 species
AUUGAACGCUGGCGGCAUGCCUUACACAUGCAAGUCGAACGGUAACAGGUCUUCGGAUGCUGACGAGUGGCGAACGGGUGAGUAAUACAUCGGAACGUGCCCGAUCGUGGGGGAUAACGAGGCGAAAGCUUUGCUAAUACCGCAUACGAUCUACGGAUGAAAGCGGGGGAUCUUCGGACCUCGCGCGGACGGAGCGGCCGAUGGCAGAUUAGGUAGUUGGUGGGAUAAAAGCUUACCAAGCCGACGAUCUGUAGCUGGUCUGAGAGGAUGAUCAGCCACACUGGGACUGAGACACGGCCCAGACUCCUGCGGGAGGCAGCAGUGGGGAAUUUUGGACAAUGGGCGAAAGCCUGAUCCAGCCAUGCCGCGUGCAGGAUGAAGGCCUUUGGGUUGUAAACUGCUUUUGUACGGAACGAAAAGCCUCUUUCUAAUAAAGAGGGGUCAUGACGGUACCGUAAGAAUAAGCACCGGCUAACUACGUG